UACGAAGGGGGCUAGCGUUGCUCGGAAUUACUGGGCGUAAAGGGCGCGUAGGCGGAUCGUUUAGUCAGAGGUAAAAGCCCAGGGCUCAACCUUGGAACUGCCUUUGAUACUGGCUAUCUUGAGUACGGGAGAGGUGUGUGGAACUCCGAGUGUAGAGGUGAAAGUCGUAGAUAUGCGGAAGAACACCAGUGGCGAAGGCGACACACGGGCCCGUUACUGACGCUGAGGCGCGAAAGCGUGGGUAGCAAACAGG
rnacentral:rRNA from 1 species